rnacentral:rRNA from 1 species
CCUACGGGCGGCUGCAGUGAGGAAUAUUGGUCAAUGGGCGCUAGCCUGAACCAGCCAAGUCGCGUGAAGGAUGACUGCCCUGUGGGUUGUAAACUUCUUUUAUAUGGGAAUAAAGUGCAGUAUGUAUACUGCUUUGCAUGUACCUUAUGAAUAAGGAUCGGCUAACUCCGUGCCAGCAGCCGCGGUAAUCCGGAGGAUCCGAGCGUUAUCCGGAUUUAUUGGGUUUAAAGGGAGCGUAGGCGGGUUGUUAAGUCAGUUGUGAAAGUUUGCGGCUCAACCGUAAAAUUGCAGUUGAUACUGGCAGCCUUGAGUACAGUAGAGGUAGGCGGAAUUCGUGGUGUAGCGGUGAAAUGCUUAGAUAUCACGAAGAACUCCGAUUGCGAAGGCAGCCUGCUGGACUGUAACUGACGCUGAUGCUCGAAAGUGUGGGUAUCAAACAGGAUUAGAUACCCCAGUAGUC